ACAUGGUGCUGUGCUUAAACAGAAAUGUUUAAAGCGAUCAGUCCAUUACAGCUGAGCAGGCACUGAGGAGUGAAUUUGGAGAUCAUUGUCUCUGAAGGAAGCCAGUUGCCGUAUUAUGAGGACACUCAAGAAACCCUAUGGAGAAACCCAUGAAGCAAAGAAUUAAGACCUCCUGCCAACAGACAAUGAGGAAUGAAAGCCUCCUGCCAAUAGCCAACAUAAAUGGAGGCUCCUGCCAACAGCCAUGUGAAUUAUCCAUCUGAGAAGUGGAUCAUCCUUUCUCAAUAAAAUCACAAAAUGAUUGAA